rnacentral:sRNA from 1 species
GGCGGGGCCCGAGCCGGAGAAGAUGGCGGUGCGGAAGAAGGACGGCGGCCCCAACGUGAAGUACUACGAGGCCGCGGACACCGUGACCCAGUUCGACAACGUGCGGCUGUGGCUCGGCAAGAACUACAAGAAGUAUAUACAAGCUGAACCACCCACCAACAAGUCUCUGUCUAGCCUGGUUGUACAGUUGCUACAAUUUCAGGAAGAAGUUUUUGGCAAACAUGUCAGCAAUGCACCGCUCACUAAACUGCCGGUGAGUGCAGAAGUAGCAGGGAGGGUGGGGGGUGGUGGUGGUGAAUCCUUCAAACUGAAGAGUUGUAUUUUAAAAAAAGAUUUGUGAACUUUGUAAUUUUUGAAAUUUGGGUUAUUUUCCACCAUCCCUAUCCCUGAUCAGGGCAUUAUUGGCUUGGCCUAGUCUCCAGUUUACCAUUCUUUUUGUCUUAGUAAUAUUUUGUGCAACAAAUUAUUUCAGAGUACCUGGGAUCAGUCCACAGGUCUCUCAUGGCAUGGUUAAAAGGGGACUUGAGAUUUGGAUUUGUGCAGGCUUGUGUUCAAAUCCUGGCUUUGCCAUUGGAUGGCUCUGUGAUCUUGGGCAACAUUCAUGAGUCUUGGUUCCUUCAUCUCUAGAUGGGAUUAGUAAACCUACCUUGUAGAGUUUCUAUAAUGGUACCUGAGGUAAUCCAGUAAAGUGUUAGCACAAGGUGGUGCUUUCUGUAUGUUGGUUUCUUUCACUCCCCUCUUCCAGGCCACAUGAUGCAAUGGCACAAGGGUUAAAGAAUUUCAGCUUUGAGGCCGGGCGUGGUGGCUCACGCCUGUAAUCCCAGCACUUUGGGAGGCCGAGGUGGGUGGAUCAUUUGAGGUCAGGAGUUUGAGACCAGCCUGGCCAACUUGGCAAAACCCCAUCUCUACUAAAAUACAAAAAUUAGCCGGGCAUGGUGGCGGGCAUCUGUAAUCUCAGCUACUUGGGAGGCUGAGGCAGGAGAAUGGCUUGCACACAGGAGGCAGAGGUUGCAGCUGGCCAAGAUCGCGCCAGUGCACUCCAGCCUGGGCAACAGAGCGGGACUCCCUCUCAAAAAAAAAAAAAAAAAAGGCCGGGUGUGGUGGCUCAUGCCUGUAAUCCCAGCACUUUGGGAGGCCGAGGCAGGUGGAUCACCUGAGGUCAGGAGUUCAAGACCAGUUUGACCAAUAUGGUGAAACCUCAUCUCUACUUACUAAAAAUACAAAAAUUAGCCACGUGAGGUGGUGUGUGCCUAUAGUCCCAGCUACUGGGGAGGCUGAGACAGGAGAAUUGCUUGAACCUGGGAGGCAGAGGUUGCAGUGAGCUGUGAUCGCGCCACUGCACUCCAGCCUAGGUGACAGAGCAAGACUCCAUCUCAAAACACAAACAAAAAAGUCACGUGCCCUCACCUCAUCUGCAGACCUGAGCUAUACCACUCACUAGAUUAUUGCCUCUUCACAAGGCGGCGUUACGAUUUCCAGAAUCCAUCACGCAUGGACCGCAAUGUGGAAAUGUUUAUGACCAUUGAGAAGUCCUUGGUGCAGGUAAUAGGCAUAUACCCUAUUUAUCUCCCUUCCCUCAGUGAGAAUCUAAAACACCCCUUUCCUAUAAUCUCAUUCUGUCUAUUUCUUCUCUCCACAGAAUAAUUGCCUGUCUCGACCUAACAUUUUUCUGUGCCCAGAAAUUGAGCCCAAACUACUAGGGAAAUUAAAGGACAUUAUCAAGAGACACCAGGUAAAUGGUCUGGUGAGGAGAGGUUUCAGAAACUCCAUGACUGUUUUCCCAAUGUUUUCUAUACCAAGCAGCAGCCCUGAAUUACCAUGUUUUCUGCUUCAGAGGUGGCUCUGUCUACUUGGAAAAAGACUUGAGUUAAAGCCUUGAGUCUGUCUUUUUCUGUCUGCUUCUCCCAUUUUUCAGUCCUGACAGGUUUGCAUUACUGUUCUAGAGACUAUGUUGGCCUGGGGAAAAAUAGUAUCCACUUCUACUGAGCUAGAGAUUGCGUGAUCUCAGAUAAAUGAAAUUCCUGCUCUUUGGAACUUUGUAAUAAUGAAUAGAUGUCAUUGAUAAGGAUGUACAGUUGACUUUAAAUUUCCCAUGUAUAGAUUAUCUGUUCAGAAGAUUAUUUGUGGCAAUUUUUAAUUCUUUGACUUUUCUCCAUUAUUAGCACAAUCCCAGCUGUUUCCCUCUGCCACUUAGCUGGUGUGUGCUUAGAGAAUACAAACUAACUUUAAUACUAUUAUAAGCAAAAUAUGGUUAGGAAGGCAGCUCUGUGGCUAAACCUUGAGUAAUUCAGAGGGGACCAUAAUUUACCCGCUUCUCCUUUUACCAUCCAGGGAACAGUCACUGAGGAUAAGAACAAUGCCUCCCAUGUUGUGUAUCCUGUCCCGGGGAAUCUAGAAGAAGGUGAGACCUGGGUUUUCCUGUCCACUUGAGUGGAUGGUUUGGACUAGGAGGCAGAGGACUAAGAUCACCAUUCAGUACCUGGGCUCCUCCUCUUCUUUCAAUCUUGAAUCCUCCUACCACCUUAAGUUCCUAUUACCAAGUCCCCUGCUACAACAGGAGAGUGCAUUAGUUAGGGCUUUUGUACAGUAUUUUUUUUGUGUCCCCCUUUAGCUUAUAUCUCUCCCUUCUCUUCCUCUAUCCCCAGAGGAAUGGGUACGACCAGUCAUGAAGAGGGAUAAGCAGGUUCUUCUGCACUGGGGCUACUAUCCUGACAGGUGAGGAUGGGUUCCUGGGGCAGGUUUAAGUAUAAGAGCCAGACCCAGAAGCCCUAGGACAUCUAGCAGAGCAAGAGGCCACUCUUUCAGAGUUAUUUUUAGAUCACUUAAUUUGUUUUCCUCUCACCUAGUAAGUGAACCUCUGUCUUAGGGGAGGUUUGGACUUAGUGGACAAGCCUUGGGCUAAAAGGAUUGAGGCUUUAUGUGUGAAUUGAUUAUCCCAGCAUCAUUUUCGAUAAGUAAAUGUUAGAAACAAUCUAAAUGUCUAACAGUAGGAAAAUGUUUCAGUAAAUUUGUAUAUCUACUCAGUGGACUAUUAUGCAGUCUUUAAAGUGAUAUAACAUGGAUAAUUUAUAAGUGAAUAUUAUUAAUAAUUGCAAAAAGUAGCAUGUAGGCCUGGCAUGGUGGCUCACGCCUGUAGUCCCAGCACUUUGGGAGGCCAAGGCAGGUGGAUCACCUGAGGUUAGGAGUUCGAGACCAGCCUGGCCAACAUGCUGAAACCCCGUCUCUACUAAAAAUACAAAAAAAAAAAAAAAAAA